rnacentral:rRNA from 1 species
GACAGAGGGUGCAAACGUUGUUCGGAAUUACUGGGCGUAAAGCGUGCGCAGGCGGUUUUGUAAGCCAGAUGUGAAAUCCCCGGGCUUAACCUGGGAAUGGCAUUUGGGACUGCAAGGCUCGAGUGCGGCAGAGGAGACUGGAAUUCCUGGUGUAGCAGUGAAAUGCGUAGAUAUCAGGAGGACCACCGAUGGCGAAGGCAGGUCUCUGGGCUGACACUGACGCUCAUGCACGAAAGCGUGGGGAGCAAACAGG